GAGCUUGCUCCUCUGACGUUAGCGGCGGACGGGUGAGUAACACGUGGAUAACCUACCUAUAAGACUGGGAUAACUUCGGGAAACCGGAGCUAAUACCGGAUAAUAUAUUGAACCGCAUGGUUCAAUAGUGAAAGACGGUUUUGCUGUCACUUAUAGAUGGAUCCGCGCCGCAUUAGCUAGUUGGUAAGGUAACGGCUUACCAAGGCAACGAUGCGUAGCCGACCUGAGAGGGUGAUCGGCCACACUGGAACUGAGACACGGUCCAGACUCCUACGGGAGGCAGCAGUAGGGAAUCUUCCGCAAUGGGCGAAAGCCUGACGGAGCAACGCCGCGUGAGUGAUGAAGGUCUUCGGAUCGUAAAACUCUGUUAUUAGGGAAGAACAAAUGUGUAAGUAACUAUGCACGUCUUGACGGUACCUAAUCAGAAAGCCACGGCUAACUACGUGCCAGCAGCCGCGGUAAUACGUAGGUGGCAAGCGUUAUCCGGAAUUAUUGGGCGUAAAGCGCGCGUAGGCGGUUUUUUAAGUCUGAUGUGAAAGCCCACGGCUCAACCGUGGAGGGUCAUUGGAAACUGGAAAACUUGAGUGCAGAAGAGGAAAGUGGAAUUCCAUGUGUAGCGGUGAAAUGCGCAGAGAUAUGGAGGAACACCAGUGGCGAAGGCGACUUUCUGGUCUGUAACUGACGCUGAUGUGCGAAAGCGUG
rnacentral:rRNA from 1 species